rnacentral:tRNA from 1 species
GCCUGGCUGGCUCGAUUGGAGCAUGUGACUGUUGAUCUCAGGGUUGUGAGUUCGAGCCCCACGUUAGGUG